UCCCUCCUUGCUGCCACCUUCACUGGGCCCACACCUCCUCCUCUUCCUCUCUCUAGCUCAUGCCCCUUCUCUCUCUUGGCAUCCUCCCUUGGAGCCAAAAAAAGGGGGUGGGCGGCACAUAGGGGUGGUUUCAAUUAGUUGGUGCCACUUAUUUGGUUCUUAUUCCCUUUGCUCUCAAAUUUGUUGAGAGUUAGUUACAACCACUUUUUGAUUGUUGUUCUUCUUGAUUAGU
rnacentral:lncRNA from 1 species